AACGAACGCUGGCGGCGUGCUUAAGACAUGCAAGUCGAACGGAAAGGCCGAUCUUUCUUCGGAUUGAUUGGUACUCGAGUGGCGCACGGGUGAGUAACGCGUGGGUAACCUACCCUCAGGUCUGGGACAACUCCGGGAAACUGGAGCUAAUACCGGAUAAGACUACAGAGUCCUCGGGCUCAGUAGAAAAAGAUGGCCUCUUCUUGAAAGCUAUUGCCUGUCGAUGAGCCCGCGUACCAUUAGCUUGUUGGUGAGGUAACGGCUCACCAAGGCGACGAUGGUUAGCUGGUCUGAGAGGAUGAUCAGCCACACUGGAACUGAGACACGGUCCAG
rnacentral:rRNA from 1 species